UAUUUUCUGGCAGGUUAGCCAUCAAGUCUCGUCAUGAAAAUGACUAUUAUGGUAUGAUACCAGCCCUGCAAUGUGGAAUGCAAAAAUGCCUUUUACUGAGACUGUCCCAUUUGUUUUUAAGGGCCUGUGCGCCAAGGGGAUCUCCAGGAAACUGUUUAAUACUGCAAUCUUAAGGGUUCAGGCUGUCUUUGCUUGAAGAAAACUUCCGCAGAAGUCACUAGCAUUAAUCUUGUAAGGUAG
rnacentral:lncRNA from 1 species